rnacentral:rRNA from 1 species
GGGUUGUGAGGUUAAGCGACUAAGCGUACACGGUGGAUGCCCUGGCAGUCAGAGGCGAUGAAGGACGUGCUAAUCUGCGAUAAGCGUCGGUGAGGUGAUAUGAACCGUUAUAACCGGCGAUUUCCGAAUGGGGAAACCCAGUGUGUUUCGACACACUAUCAUUAACUGAAUCCAUAGGUUAAUGAGGCGAACCGGGGGAACUGAAACAUCUAAGUACCCCGAGGAAAAGAAAUCAACCGAGAUUCCCCCAGUAGCGGCGAGCGAACGGGGAGGAGCCCAGAGCCUGAAUCAGUGUGUGUGUUAGUGGAAGCGUCUGGAAAGGCGCGCGAUACAGGGUGACAGCCCCGUACACAAAAAUGCACAUAUUGUGAGCUCGAUGAGUAGGGCGGGACACGUGGUAUCCUGUCUGAAUAUGGGGGGACCAUCCUCCAAGGCUAAAUACUCCUGACUGACCGAUAGUGAACCAGUACCGUGAGGGAAAGGCGAAAAGAACCCCGGCGAGGGGAGUGAAAAAGAACCUGAAACCGUGUACGUACAAGCAGUGGGAGCCUCUUAAUGGGGUGACUGCGUACCUUUUGUAUAAUGGGUCAGCGACUUAUAUUCUGUAGCAAGGUUAACCGAAUAGGGGAGCCGAAGGGAAACCGAGUCUUAACUGGGCGUUAAGUUGCAGGGUAUAGACCCGAAACCCGGUGAUCUAGCCAUGGGCAGGUUGAAGGUUGGGUAACACUAACUGGAGGACCGAACCGACUAAUGUUGAAAAAUUAGCGGAUGACUUGUGGCUGGGGGUGAAAGGCCAAUCAAACCGGGAGAUAGCUGGUUCUCCCCGAAAGCUAUUUAGGU